UGGGGAAUAUUGCACAAUGGGCGCAAGCCUGAUGCAGCCAUGCCGCGUGUAUGAAGAAGGCCUUGGGUUGUAAAGUACUUUCAGCGGGGAGGAAGGUGUUGUGGUUAAUAACCGCAGCAAUUGACGUUACCCGCAGAAGAAGCACCGGCUAACUCCGUGCCA
rnacentral:rRNA from 1 species